rnacentral:rRNA from 1 species
GACAGAGGGUGCAAACGUUGCUCGGAAUUAUUGGGCGUAAAGAGCGUGUAGGCGGUCCGGUAAGUCCGCUGUGAAAGUCGGGGGCUCAACCCUCGAAUGCCGGUGGAUACUGUCGGGCUAGAGUGCGGAAGAGGCGAGUGGAAUUCCUGGUGUAGCGGUGAAAUGCGCAGAUAUCAGGAGGAACACCUAUUGCGAAGGCAGCUCGCUGGGACGUAACUGACGCUGAGACGCGAAAGCGUGGGGAGCAAACAGG